AUGAUUGACUUUCGAGAUGUGCUUGAAGUGUGUGGAUUGGGUGAUCUUGGUUUUGCAGGGCUGCCCUACACAUAUGAUAAUAAACGUGCUGGACGUGCAAACGUCAAGGUCCGCCUUGACCGGGCGGUUGCAAACAACGCAUGGCGGGAUUUGUUUGAAUAUGCUAAGGUGGACCACCUGGUGGCACCUAGUUCGGAUCAUCUUCCCAUCCUGCUCCGGUGCUCGCGAGAGGAACCAAUGCAAGCUUCUGGCAAGAGGUUCCGGCAAUAUGAAGUCAUGUGGGAAAGAGAGCCAUCGCUCCCGGAGGUAAUUAUGAAAACUUGGACAUAUCUGGUUUCUAUGCUUAAUCUUGGUGAUAUUUCCUCUGGCUUGGGUAAUUUUAUGAAGAAGCUGCAGGACUGGAGCCAGAGAAAAUUCGGUAAUGUCAUUAAGGAGAUUAACAAGUCUCGAUCACGGCUCGAGGAGCUUUUGUCAAUGAAUGCAGAUAGGAAGGAAAUACGG
rnacentral:rRNA from 1 species